AACGAACGCUGGCGGCAUGCCUAACACAUGCAAGUCGAACGAGACCUUCGGGUCUAGUGGCGCACGGGUGCGUAACGCGUGGGAAUCUGCCCUUGGGUUCGGAAUAACAGUUGGAAACGACUGCUAAUACCGGAUGUUGACUUAAGUCCAAAGAUUUAUCGCCCAGGGAUGAGCCCGCGUAGGAUUAGCUAGUUGGUGGGGUAAAGGCCUACCAAGGCGACGAUCCUUAGCUGGUCUGAGAGGAUGAUCAGCCACACUGGGACUGAGACACGGCCCAGACUCCUACGGGAGGCAGCAGUGGGGAAUAUUGGACAAUGGGCGAAAGCCUGAUCCAGCAAUGCCGCGUGAGUGAUGAAGGCCUUAGGGUUGUAAAGCUCUUUUACCCGGGAUGAUAAUGACAGUACCGGGAGAAUAAGCCCCGGCUAACUCCGUG
rnacentral:rRNA from 1 species